rnacentral:lncRNA from 1 species
CUACAUAUUACCCUCCCCAGACCCCACUUUGUGGGAUUAUACUGGAUUGUAGUAGUUGUUGUUGUUGUUAUAGAUAGAUCUAGAGGAGCCCAGAAGAAUUAAAUAACUUACCCAAACAAAGAUAGCAUUCCAAACUCUUGUAGUACCAAAGCAGGCUGAGAAUGAUAGAAAAAAGAGAGAGAGGAUAUUAAAAGAGUGAAAUCUAACGAGAUGGACAAUUUAUAGAGAGCUAUCGUAUCAAAUAGAAGUACACGUGGUUUGGUAAAGUAGAGAUAGUACAAGUGUUAAUCCACCAAUAAGAUGUGCCCAAAUAUGAAGUACAAACCACAGUGCAUUUUGUACAAUCAGAACUGCUAUAUUCGUACACCCUCUUAUCACAACCUAUAUUAUUUCAUUAUACAUUGUGUUACCUUUGAUUCUCACCGUAACAUUUCGACUUUCUCUUGUGAGAGGUCUCCCUAAUUUUUCAAAUUCUUUGUCAUGAUUUUUUUUAAGUACUAAAGGAAAAUAUAAAAAAUACUAUUAUUGUAAAUAAAGGUACAAUGACAAUAUUCACAAGGACCCAAAAGCAAAGCACAAAAAGUUCUUUAUCCUUUGACCAACAAAUUUUAGUUUUCAACAUCAUAUAAGUUCGUCAAAAAGUAGAUUGAGCUGAGCGUGUUGCGAACUAAAUCAUCAGAAAGGAAAAACCCUGUAUCCAGAAAGUGCAAGCCUGGUUGAGCUGCACAGAGUUAAAAGGAGUAUCUAUGAAAAUGUUUAUGAUCAUUUCUAUUUGAAUAAUGAGUUAAUAACAGUAUUGCUGAAGUAGAAUCAAGUGAAACUUUAUAAAAAUAUUAAUAGAUGAAUAGCAUAACUGAUGUAAAUACAAGCAUUGAUAAUGAACGAAGGAGAAAACCAAUUUACAUUUGAAAACUUAAGUGAACUUGGUAAAAAAAUAUCUCAAGAAGGCUGCUCAAGAUUAAGUACAUGCCACCCCUAUUAAUAUUUCCAGAUGUAAGCCAUUUCUUCUCAAAAAAUACUAACAGGAAAACUCUAUCAAGAUAAGAAGAUCAUACAUAAGUACACCAGUCAACAUUUUCAAAGACUUUUUUUUCCCUAAAUAAAGUUACAAUCAGAGGACUCUUAAUUAGGUCCCUUAGUUUACUGAAAGAUCAUACUUUUAACUCCUUUGUUUCAUCUUUCACCAAUCCUUCUUAUUUGUACAAGACCUUUUAGUUGGCGAGUUUGUAUCUUUGUGCAAAGGAAUAAGCUUUACUAAUUAAACUAAGAUAGUUACGUAAGAUUCUAUGAGAAGAAAAUUCAGAACAUUUUUAAGAAAUGGGGAGUAUGUUGUCCAGAUAAGGCCACAUAUGUUGUCCAGAUAAGGCAACAUGUGCUCAAGAAAUUUAUUGAGUCAGUCCAGCUUCAGCAACAAAUAAAGAAAACAAAUAAUUAUGUAUACAUAACUAAGCAACUUUAAAGAUGUAGGUUAAAUAUGUAACUGAAUACAUACACGGUCCCAACUGGAAAUUUCAGGAAGUAAUUGCUGCAAGCUUUGAGAAUCUUGCUCGACCAAUAGGUGAAUAACAGGUCCUGAUAGAGUAAAUGAACACUAUCAGUAGUUGUUUUCAAAGGUGCUGAUUGUGUAAAAUAGAAAAUAUUAUCUCUUCCAAUGGCAGAGACACAUGAAAUAUAUCAAUGAGCAAGAAGGAGACAUAAGUUAAAUAUAAGCAAAGUUCUACUGUUUCAACAACAUGGCUACUAACUGACAUAUAUUAAGGUACUCAACAUUUCAUACCUUUAAUAGUAGCUUGGUCCUGAGUGUUUAUUUUAAUUUGAGCAAUUCAUUGACACUUUUGUUUAUGCUCAACCACAAGGGCUAAUUAAACAACUCAGAUUAUCUAAAUCUUUACUUUGGGACAAAGAAUGAAAAAAAUCAAAGCUUUAUAAUUUAUAGGCUACACAUUAAAGAUUACAGUCUGAUUAUCAGUUUAUUGAAGCUCAGUGAAGUCAAACUUAUAAACCUUCAAACAAUAGAGCCGUAGUAAAAGAUCCAGCACAAUAGAUCAACAAACUAACUUUUUUAACUAUGUGCUUAUCUUGAAAGAGAAAAAUGGAGCAGCGAAGAACGUCACCGAAGUCAUGAAGAUGAACAAACUGUUUUGAUCUUCAUGCUCUGUGUUUCAUAGAAACCCGGCGAUAGAAUCAGAAUACCUAAAAAGAACUUGUGAAACCAAUGGGCUUGAGUUUAUACCAUACAAAGGAUUAUAUGUCAUAGCACCCACUAAACCCAAACCAAUAACAAGAAGAAUAAGUUUCAGUCAAGAUAAAAAGGAACCAUCAAAUAGAGUGCCUAUUUCAUGACCUGCUAGUUCUGGAAUAUAUGGAAAAAACAAAAUUUAGCUAAAUAAGAAUUACAAGAGUUAUUCAUAUUAGGUUCCUAUAACCAUAAGUAUGUGUAGCUGCAUUUAAACAAACUACAAGAUGACAUUGAAGUGGGUAAGCAGACAUGUCCAAUUGGUCCACUCUAUUCUCAGUUGCAACAGUCGUUCGUCAAGUAAGGAAAAAUUAAGUUUAUGUCCUUGUCUCCAUUAUCAGACGUGAAAAGACAUUCAAGAAGGAAAACUGCAUAGGGCUGGCUACCAAGAUACAAAGUUCUAUACAACAGGGAUUGAUGCAUCCUUAAAAUGCUUAUUACUUGUAACACCCCGUUACGGCUGUGCCGGGUUGGAUUUUCACAUUUUUAUCAAUAUUUUCCGCUAUUUUGUAUUAUUAAACCAUGUUUGGACUAUAUUUGUGUUAAAUAACUAUUUUAAAGGGCGAAUUGGGUUAGACUGGCUGGCCUUGUCUUCACGAGAGACGUCAUUACGCUAGGUUCAGGAUUUGGAUCGUGAGAAGUUGGUAUUAGAAUCGCUCGUCAAGUAAGGUAAAUUUAACUUUGUCUCCAUUGUCGGACAUGAAAAGGCAUUCAAAAAGGAAAACUGCAGAGGGCUAACUACCAAGAUACAAAGCUCUAUACUACAGGGAUUAAUGCAUCCUUAAACACAUGACAACCAGCUUUAACCCAAACUUCAUUCAUAUACCAAGGCAGAACUUUGUCAAGUACUCAAUUUUGAGAAGUAACAAAUUCAAAUAGUAUUGGCAUGCACAAUAUAAUAUUGUGCGUAAAUUUAUAAUCAGUAUCUCCAAAGCUAACACAGCAAACACUAUCUUUUCAACUAAGAACACUUUCUGAAUGAUGUAGGACAUGCCUUUGACACUUUUGAAUAAUGUUGCUUCAUUACAAUUUUGUAUUCGCAUCUUUAAAGCGUUGAAAAAGUACAAAAUCACACUUAACUGCAAUCUGAUUGCCAAAAUAAUUAAAGUACAAUUUCUUAUAAGAUAUUAUUCUUGCCUAAUAUUGUCUCGGGGCAACUUAUUUUUUUCGAUUGUGCUAUGAUAUUUUACCAUUUUGUAAGCCUGAGCCAAUAUCAAAGUAACAGACACAACAUAGCAGGGGAAAAACUUUUUAAAUCCAUGCAAUUAUCUUGACAGAGCAAAACUACAGCUGCCAGAUGACGACGUUAUCGAUGUUGUAAGAAGAUGACCAAAUCGCUCUGUUAUUCAAAGAAAUCCAGUAACAGAUGUAACCUACGAUUAAUCUUCUUUGAGAAUCUCAAUAGAAGUCAAAAAUCAAAUUAUAAGUAAAAUAUGUGCGAAAAUCAAAGAGAAGAAAUUAGCAAAACCUAAAGAAAAACAGAGAGGAAACAAAGCAAAUCAAAAGGAUUUACUUUGGUAGAAGAGGCCUGAGUGGCGACGAACUGCGCGUCAAAACUGAGGAGAGAGAAAACUAUUCUUCAAACUCGACAGCGGUGACUGCCACGGCAUAGGUAUAAAAUGACCUAGUGAGC